CCAGUGUGCGUCUUGGAAGAGUGUUGCCAUCGUAUACGCUAAAAGCUGAUUGGCUCCGCCAUCUUUUGCUCAGAUUUCCGGAUUAAUUUGGAAGGGGUAAACAGAUGAUGAGUUGUUUAUUUUUCGUUUACUCUAGAUUAACCUCACUUAACUAGAUAGAUCGAGAAAUAUUAAAUUACUAUUACUAUUAUUCAGGUUGAAAAAUGCCUUCUUCUAAGGUAAAAGGUUGCGAAGUCGAUAGGGGAAAAAUAAUGUGAAAAUGAAUUCUUUCCCAAAAGAAUCUGAACGACGGAAAGUGUGGAUUAAAAAUAUAGGGUUAAAACAAGAUCCAAACAAAUAUGCUGUUGUUUGUGAAGAACACUACUUCUGACAUGUGGAAAAAAGUUGGCAAGAUGGCAGCAGAAAAUUAAAAUGCAAUGCUGUACCAACAAUAUUUAGAGAAGAAAGCGAAAGUAUUUAAUUAUUUAUAUUGGUUUUUUGUUUAUUCACCAAUUUAACACCUAUAGAUAUUUGUAUAACAAGAGAGCGAAGUGCACCUUUUCCUCCCAAGAAUAAAGUGUACUAGUUUACUACAGUAAUCAUUCAAGGGAGGAAAAGGCACUUCUCCCAUGUUAUACAUUUUUCCACCUCCCUCAAAUAAGUCAUUUUUUCAUUUUUAAAAUAUUUAUAUAACUGUUGAUUGAAUACAUGAAUCAUAAUUGAAUACAGGAAUUUAUGUAUUCAAUCAACAAUAGAACUAACAAAAUUUAUUAGAAAACUAAAACUAACAAGUAGGUACAGUAUAACUAUCAAAUUAUUAAUGAAAAAUUUUUAAAUCAAAAUAACAAUUUACUGUUUUUACCAUUUUGCAACAUCUAUAAAUAAAAUUUAAAAUGUAUGGACCUAAUAGAAAAUAGAGUAAUAGUAUAGGGUGUCAAUAAGUUAUUUCAUCUAUGCUAUGACAUAGUAUGACGUCAACAUCACUUUUACUUUUACUCCCUAGGGAUUAAAAGUACUUUGUUUCCCUAGGGAGAAAAAAAUAUGACUAUGCUCCCUACAAUAAGGCCAGGAAAUGUAUACUUUGGAUAGAGGUAGGUGGGAAAAUCUGUUUUAUUCAGUUAUUGUGAUUUGUUUCUUACAAUCAGUUUGUUCUAGCACGAGUUUCAAACGGUCUGAAACCAUUAGCGAAUAGUGGACCAGCACGAGUAGAGGGGAUAGCACUCGUAACUGUAUUAUGUUCUCUCACUGACCAACUGUUUGCUGACUAGUUCGACUGUUUGCUAGAACAAACCUAUUAUUCAAACAAAAUGUCCUCUACGUCAGACUGAUCAAAAUUUUAAAAAUGUGUCAUAUCAAUCAAAUCAAAAAAUUUAAAAAAUUGUUCCUGUAACCAUUUUUAGUGGAAAUAAUAACAGUACUUAUAUUGGAUCAGAGAGCCACCCAAUUCAUUGUUAAAGUAUGAUAAACUAAAAGUUAAACAAUUAGGCAUGCACUUCAUAUUAUAUUUAAUGAAAUAUAACCCACUGGUACUCAUACAAACUUUAUACACAUACAAAUUUUUCCUCAUUUAUUAGUUUUUCACUACCGUUAAGUUUGGAAACAAGCGCUGUUGCCAAAUAAAAACAUAUACAGUCA
rnacentral:lncRNA from 1 species